rnacentral:rRNA from 1 species
AACAGGAUUAGAUACCCUGGUAGUCCACGCCCUAAACGAUGUCUACUAGUUGUCGGGUCUUAAUUGACUUGGUAACGCAGCUAACGCGUGAAGUAGACCGCCUGGGGAGUACGGUCGCAAGAUUAAAACUCAAAGGAAUUGACGGGGACCCGCACAAGCGGUGGAUGAUGUGGAUUAAUUCGAUGCAACGCGAAAAACCUUACCUACCCUUGACAUGGCUGGAAUCCUUGAGAGAUCAGGGAGUGCUCGAAAGAGAACCAGUACACAGGUGCUGCAUGGCUGUCGUCAGCUCGUGUCGUGAGAUGUUGGGUUAAGUCCCGCAACGAGCGCAACCCUUGUCAUUAGUUGCUACGAAAGGGCACUCUAAUGAGACUGCCGGUGACAAACCGGAGGAAGGUGGGGAUGACGUCAAGUCCUCAUGGCCCUUAUGGGUAGGGCUUCACACGUCAUACAAUGGUACAUACAGAGCGCCGCCAACCCGCGAGGGGGAGCUAAUCGCAGAAAGUGUAUCGUAGUCCGGAUUGUAGUCUGCAACUCGACUGCAUGAAGUUGGAAUCGCUAGUAAUCGCGGAUCAGCAUGUCGCGGUGAAUACGUUCCCGGGUCUUGUACACACCGCCCGUCACACCAUGGGAGCGGGUUUUACCAGAAGUAGGUAGCUUAACCGCAAGGAGGGCGCUUACCACGGUAGGAUUCGUGACUGGGGUGAAGUCGUAACAAGGUAACC